ensembl:snRNA U4 U4 spliceosomal RNA
AGCUUUGCACAGUGGCAGUAUCUUAGCCAAUGAGGUUUAUCUGAGGCACGACUAUUGUUAAUUGAAAACAGUAUCACCCAGUCAAUUUAGUGAUUUUCAUCCAACAAGGAUAACAGAUAUGCAGGGGAAAUCACUUAGGAACCAGACUUUUCCUACCCAUUUCCUAAGU